UCUUUAUAUGAUUUUCAAGGACAUCCUGCAAAGUUAGAUCAAACAUUGGCUGAAUGCUAUGAUGAAUUCAAAUUGAAACUUCUCAGGGUGUAUGUUUAUACAAAGAAGAAUCUGAUGCUGUUUGUAAAGCUGAAAACAAGGUGUUCACACUGACUAAACCUGUACAGUCAAAGGCUAAAGUUAAGAGAGUUUCUGUAUUCUUAUGUAUUCUAUUCUAUUAAGUAACAAACAUAAUGCAUGCUUGAGAGUUCAGUGCGUAUGAAUAAUUCACAAACGCUGAGUGUGUUGUUAUAAGCACCGAACGAGCAACUGUGCAUUAUUAUACAAUAGAUCACAAAAUAUUUGGCUGUAAUGUAUUUUUCAAAAAGGAAAGAAGUUGGCAGUUUUCAAAUUGGUUAAAUUAAAAAAAAUAAUUGUAUAAUUGUAUGAAUGAAAACAAACAUCAAGAAACUAACAUUUAAAGAACGCCUUACAAUAUGUUACUACCAAAUAAAAAAAAGUUAAAAUAUAAUAACCUAAAUAAAAAAAGAUAAUUCAUAGAUAAACAUGAAACAUUUUGUAAUCUUAAAAUGGUAAGAGUUUGUUUAUUUCAGUAGCUGAUUUUUCUCCAGCUGACAAGGGGCCAAUGUUAGGUUCCAGUGACCUGGUGCCAACGCAAGGUUCCAAUGACCAGGUGCCAACGCUAGGUUCCAAUGAUCAGGUGCCAAGGCCAGGUUCCAAUGACAAGGUGCCAACACUAGGUUCCAAUGACCAGGUGCCAACGCUAGGAUCCAAGUCAAGUGGUAGAGUUUCAAUUUUUUUAAAAAGUUAAAACAGAACCGAGACAAACUGGAAAGUGCAUCAGUUAAGGGUUUCAUGCUUGACUUUGAGCACGCGGCAUGGAAUGCAGUCCGAAAAGAAUUUGGUCAGGAUGUAGAUAAAAAGGGGUGUCUUCCACUAGUGUCAGGCAGUUUGGGGUCAGGAUCGGGCCAAUGGGUUCUCCACCACUUACAAUGCAAGGAAGAAUACUCACAAGUUUUUGCGUCAGCUGAUGGCACUUCCCUUCUUUCCAGUCAACCAUAUAGUGCCAACAUGGACGCAGGGACGAUCCACAAAAACACAGAUUGUAGCGUUCUGUAGCUACCUUGAACGUCAAUGGAUUGGGAAUCCCUCAUUCCCAGUGAGUUCGUGGUGUGUAUUCCGCCAGCCGGUACGGACGAAUAAUGAUGUAGAAGAUGUAAUUACACAUUUGUUAUGUCCUUCCACUGGCUGGCAUCAUCGUAUCAACAGGAAGGCAGGUGGAUGUUCGAUGUCCUUCUACAGGCUAGUUCCACUUCAGCGUAGGGAAGCAUAGACCGUUGGUCAGACACUACGAACAGGAGUUCUGAACAGGGCCAGAUCUGUAUGUACAACUAGAAUGGAGCGAAUCAUUCAAGACUUUUGGGAAAGAUAUCAAGACUCAGAACUUUCAACAACAGCAUUUUUGAAAGCUUGUUCUGCAUUGUACGGACCGUCGACUUAGAGUGAUUUUGUGAAAUGACGAGGAUGUAGUUUGUGGUGCUGUAGGUGGUGCUGUCAAUGACGGCGUCGACUUUGUUUUGUAAAAAAUAUAUGUUUUGUUACGUAAAAAUAUACAUAUUGUUUUUUUUUUGUUUUGUUUAAAUCUUGGAUUAUUUAAAAUACUAGAUUUUUGUUUUGUUUUGUCUUGCUUUAAUCAUAUUUGUCUGUACAGGUAGUCAUUAAACGUUUAAUGUCAUAGUAGAAGUAUUGUACAUAUAUUGUUGUUGUUGAUAAUGAUUAUUUCAUGUUGAGGUAACUAUUUUGUAUUUUCGUGUAAAUAAAAUAUGUUAUUGAUUAAUACAUGUACUAGUUUAUCCUGAUUUUGUCUUGUUCUGCCUCUUCACUUGUUGUAACAAUAAAUGUAAUAUAAAGCACUGUUUUCUCUUUGUUAUACUUAUAAACUCUCUCUGUCUC